ensembl:lncRNA SLC25A51P4 SLC25A51 pseudogene 4
AGGCGGCGCGCGCGGAAUCAGUUGAGUCUCUUCGGUUCCCGGCUCUUUCUCCUGCGACUGGGGAAAUGGACGCCUGGAGAACGGAAAUCCAGUUAUCAAAAUUGACUCCAGAAGAGAGAACCUAACAGAACAAUAACAAUGGAAGAAAUUGGGAAUAUUAUCAAAAAGCUAUCAUUCUGUUAAACUCCAGGCUUGGAUGGUGUUACAGGUUUAAAAAAAAAAAAAGAAAAAGUCCUUCAUGAAAAAAGAAGAACUUAAGCAACAUGAUGGAUUCAGAAGCUCAUGGAAAGAGACCACCAAUACUAACAUCUUCGAAACAAGAUAUGUCACCUCAUAUUACAGAUUUAGUGAAAUGAAGCAUUACUUGUGUGGCUGCUGUGCAGCCUUCAACAACGUCGCAAUCACAUUUCCCAUUCAGAAGGUCCUCUUUCCACAACAGCUGUAUGGCAUCAAAACGGGGGAUGCAAUACUUCAGUUGAGAACGGAUGGAUUUCGAAACUUGUAUCGGGGAAUCUUUCCCCGAUUGAUGCAGAAGACAACUACACUUGCACUUACGUUUGGUCUGUAUGAGGAUUUAUCCUACCUUCUCCACAAGCAUGUCAGUGCUCCAGAGUUUGCAACCUGUGGCGUGGCAGCAGUGCUUGCAGGGACAACGGAAGCAAUUUUCACUUCAGACAUUGCUUCAAGACCACAAGCACCAUGACAAAUUUGCCAACAUUUAUCAGGCUUUCAAGGCACUGAAAUGUCAUGGAAUUGGAGAGUUUUAUCGAGGUUUGGUGCCCAUUCUUUUCCAGAAUGGACUCAGCAAUGUCUUUUUUUUUUCGGCCUUCGAGGUCACGUUAAGGAGCAUCUGCCUACCGCGACGACUCACAAUUCUCAUUUGGUCAAUGAUUUUAUCGGUGGAGGUCUAUUGGGUGCCAUGUUGGGAUUCCUGUUUUUUCCAAUUAAUGUUGUAAAAACUCGCAUACAGUCUCAGAUUGGUGGGGAAUUUCAGUCUUUCCCCAAGGUUUUCCAAAAAAUCUGGCUGGAACGGGACAGAAAACUGAUAAAUCUUUUCAGAGGUUCUCAUCUGAAUUACCAUCUGUCCCUUAUCUCUUGGGGCAUAAUCAAUGCAAAGGUUAUAUGAAAAAAAACAUCAGUUAAGUGCCACUUAUCAACUGAAUAGACCUUCUAAGAAGAAUGCAGUUUGGCCUCUUCCUUAAUUGGCCAAAUACAAGUUGGUGUCAUAACUCCAGGCCACACUUUUGAAGACCAGACUGCAAAUAUAUUACCAGGGAUGGUUUUGUGUUGUCCUACAGACUUCUUAAAUUUGACAAAAAUUCAGCUGAACUUGUAACCAACAGCUUUGUCUGAACUUGAAGUCAAAAUGUGUUGUUAAUAAGAGAUUCUAGCUAUUGCUUUUACCUUCAGUGUGAACCAGUGUGGUAAUAAUUUUGAAAAAGCAGGCUGGACACAGUGGCUCAUGCCUGUAAUCCCAGAAUUUUGGGAGGCCGAGACGGGCACAUCAUUUGAGGUCAGGAGUUCAAGACCAGCCUGGCCAACAUGGUGAAACCCCAUCUCUAUUAUAUAAGAAAUUAGCAGGGCAUGGUGGCACAUGCCUGUGAUCCCAGCUACUGAGGAGGCUGAGGCAGGAGAAUCACUUGAACCCAGAAGGCGGAAGUUGCAGUGAGCCGAGACAGUGCCACCGUACUCUAGCCUGGGCGACAGAGCAAGACUCCAUCUC